GCUUGUCUCAAAGAUUAAGCCAUGCAUGUCUAAGUAUAAAUAAUUCUAUACUGUGAAACUGCGAAUGGCUCAUUAUAUCAGUUAUAGUUUAUUUGAUAGUCCCUUACUACUUGGAUAACCGUAGUAACUCUAGAGCUAAUACAUGCGCAAAUUCCCGACUGUCGCAAGGCGGAAAGGAUGUAUUUAUUAGAUCCAACCAGCCCGGUUCGCCGGAGUCCCUGGUGAAUCAUGAUAACUUCACGAAUCGCAUGGCCUCGCGCCGGCGAUAUUUCAUUCAAAUUUCUGCCCUAUCAAUUGGCGAUGGUAGGAUAGAGGCCUACCAUGGUGUUAACGGGUGACGGGGGAUUAGGGUUCGAUUCCGGAGAGGCAGCCUGAGAAACGGCUACCACAUCCAAGGAAGGCAGCAGG
rnacentral:rRNA from 1 species